UACGAAGGGGGCUAGCGUUGCUCGGAAUCACUGGGCGUAAAGGGUGCGUAGGCGGGUCUUUAAGUCAGGGGUGAAAUCCUGGAGCUCAACUCCAGAACUGCCUUUGAUACUGAAGAUCUUGAGUUCGGGAGAGGUGAGUGGAACUGCGAGUGUAGAGGUGAAUUCGUAGAUAUUCGCAAGAACACCAGAGGCGAAGGCGG
rnacentral:rRNA from 1 species